ACCUCAUCUUAACAAAUACAUCUGCAAAGACCCUAUUUCCAAGCAAGGUCACAUUCAUAGUUACAGGGAUAUGGUGUUAGUUAGAGCUUCAUAUUAAUUUAAGGGACACAUUUCAACCCAUAACGGUAGAUAAAGAUCGUAUGGCGUUCAACAAACUGGUCGGUGUGGUGAACAUGUUUCUUUAAAAGAAUACAAUAGUACCCCUUAUCUGCACUUCACUUUCUUUGGUUUUAGUUACCCAAAGACAACCACCAUCUGAAAAUACUAAAUGGCUAAUUCCAGAAGUAAACAACUAAUACAUUUUAAAUUUAAUGCCAUUUUGACUAAUGUAAUGAAAUCUCCAUCCCACUUAGGACAUUAAUCAUCUCUUUGUUCAGUGUUAUCCACACAGUAUAUACUACCUGCCCAUUUGUGGGUUAGCUGUCUAUUAUCAGAUCAACUGUAGCAGUACUGCAGUGCUUGUUUUCAAGUAAUCCUAUUUUACUUAAUUAUGGACCCAAAGUACACAAAUAGUGAUGCUAGCAAUCAUCUGUGUCAAAGAGAAGCCAUAAAGUGCCUUCUUUGAGUGAAAGGUUAGUACAGUACAUUAAGAUAUUUUGAGACAGACCACAUUCACAUAAGUUUUAUUAUGGUAUAUUGUUCUAUUUUAUUAGUUAUUGUUAGUAAUCUCUUACUAUGCCUGAUUUAUAAAUUAAACUUUAUCAUAGGUAGGUAUGUAUGUAUGCAUGUUUGUGUAUAUGGGAAAAACAUAGCAUAUAUAGGGUUUGGUACUAUCUGCAUUUUCAGGCAUAAACUGAGGGUUCUGGAACAUAUUCCUUACACAUAAGGGGAAGCUACAGUAUGUAUUUCCUUUUUGUGGGUCUCAAGAUGGCUUUUAUCCUUGACUUUGUCUGUUCUUUUUCUAAGUUAAGUCCACAUUUGACACAUGCAGACCAAAGCUGCACCCCAAUUACUUUUCAGUUCACUCUAAGCUGGCUUUUUUUUUCUCUCUAGUAUCUCUCUAUCAUUGUCCACCAACACUUCUGUUUUAAAGUUCAGUUCUUGGCUCUGUGACAGUAUAUUUUUGUGGAUUUCUUCCUUCAUCACUAGCUACUCCUUAGUCACCUUAGCUGUCAACUUUUCCUUUACCCAACAUUCAGGUUUGCUGCAUUUCAGGGGCUCUGUCCCAGGAUGCUUUCUUUUCUCGCUCAAAUUUUUCUCCGUGACUCUAAUUUUAUAUCUCCAGUUCAGUUUAUUUCUUUGUGCUCUAUGCAUAUAAAUGAAUGAUCUUCAUGUAAGUCUCUUAUAAGCAUCUCAGACUUAAUGUGUCUUCAGUGGAGUUCUUUGUUUCUUCCUCAAAACUUGUUCCGCUCCUCCCUCGCAGGUUUCGUAUUUCAGAAAAUGCUAGUGGUACUGUCCUGCCCUACUAUCGAAGUAGGAAUUAGGAAAUAUCUUUCAUUCCUCUCCUUUUACUUACUAUGCAUCCCCUAGUUCUGUUGACUUCCUUUAGAUUACAUUCACUGCUACUGUACUAGUCCUGACUGCAAACAUUUUUUAAAUCUGGAUAUUAUAUUAGUCUCAUAAAAUAUCUUUGUCCUUUUACUACCCAUUUCCCUAAACCAUUCUCCUCCUAGUACUAAGAAUGGCCUUCUUAAAACAUGAAUUAGAGCAUGAUAAUCUCUUACUUAAAAUCUUUCUGGUUUUUCUUCUGGCGCCCUUCCUUUUUGCUCAGUAGAUUCCACUGAAAUUUAGUCAUCUUUCAUAUUCUUUCAGGUGCAUAUGAAUCUCUUUAUUGCCUUUACACACUUUACAAUGCUUUUCCUUCUACCUGGGCUUUCUUCCCUGGUGUUGUGACUUGGCUAGCUCCUUUUCCUCUCAAUUUCUGCUCAACUAUCAUUUCAAAGAGACCCUCCCUAAUCAUGCUAGCUAAAGUAGAUCCCCAUGUCCGUAACUCUAUCUCAACCUUUUGUUCUGUCAUGGCAUAUACAGUUUGCAAUUACUUUAUUUGUUCCCC